CGACCGGGGAGGCCUCAGUGUCUCCUCUCCUUCGGGAGAACGGAAGGACGCCUGCGGCCUACGAGAGAAUUCUGAAAAAGAUACAUACAGUACUUUAGUGUCAGUUCUUACAGAUGCUGCUUGGACUGCGGGAUGGCUAUACUUCUGUCUGAAAGCAUAAAGCACCUCAGGAUGAGUGGUGGACCUCGCGCCCAGAGUGAAGUGCCAGCACGAGACUGGUUGACAACUUUUAACACUAACUUGUACACAGACAAUCUCCUCCUUGCCCGACUGAUAUUCUAGAUACAAGGAGGCCAGGUCCCUGGGUUUGUAGCCAUUGUGAAUAGAACCACUGUGCAAAACUGCAUCCUCGUUUGCAUUUGGACGUAGAAUUUCAGAGCAACUGCCUAAAUACUGAAAGCAUGAUUGCUGGAUCCCAAGCCUUCAAUCUUUCCCAACAUCAGGGUCUUUUCAAAUGAGUCAGCUCUUCGCAUCAGGUGG